GUGCCAGCAGCCGCGGUAAUACGUAGGUGGCAAGCGUUGUCCGGAAUUAUUGGGCGUAAAGCGCGCGCAGGUGGUUUCUUAAGUCUGAUGUGAAAGCCCACGGCUCAACCGUGGAGGGUCAUUGGAAACUGGGGAACUUGAGUGCAGGAGAGAAGAGUGGAAUUCCACGUGUAGCGGUGAAAUGCGUAGAGAUGUGGAGGAACACCAGUGGCGAAGGCGACUCUUUGGCCUGUAACUGACACUGAGGCGCGAAAGCGUGGGGAGCAAACAGGAUUAGAAACCCUUGUAGUCC
rnacentral:rRNA from 1 species